rnacentral:rRNA from 1 species
UGCAGAAUCCCGUGAACCAUCGAGUUUUUGAACGCAAGUUGCGCCCGAAGCCUUCGGGCUGAGGGCACGUCUGCCUGGGCGUCACGC